CCUACGGGUGGCAGCAGUGAGGAAUAUUGGUCAAUGGACGAGAGUCUGAACCAGCCAAGUAGCGUGAAGGAUGACUGCCCUAUGGGUUGUAAACUUCUUUUAUAUGGGAAUAAAAUGUUCCACGUGUGGGAUUUUGUAUGUACCAUAUGAAUAAGGAUCGGCUAACUCCGUGCCAGCAGCCGCAGUAAUACGGAGGAUCCGAGCGUUAUCCGGAUUUAUUGGGUUUAAAGGGAGCGUAGGUGGAUUGUUAAGUCAGUUGUGAAAGUUUGCGGCUCAACCGUAAAAUUGCAGUUGAAACUGGCAGUCUUGAGUACAGUAGAGGUGGGCGGAAUUCGUGGUGUAGCGGUGAAAUGCUUAGAUAUCACGAAGAACUCCGAUUGCGAAGGCAGUUCACUGGACUGCAACUGACACUGAGGCUCGAAAGUGUGGGUAUCAAACGGGAUUAGAUACCCGAGUAGUC
rnacentral:rRNA from 1 species